UUGAAAGUUUAAAAUCUAAGUUUACCUUAAAAGUCGAUCUCUCUCAAGUUUAUUGAAGGUCUUAAAGACCAAAAUCCGAGAUGAGAGUGAAGAGAAAAAUGAUGAGGAAUAAAAGAACGGAAGAAAAAUAUAAAAGAAAAAUAAUAGAAAACUAAAAGGAUCGUCAAGGUAAAUCCCUGGAGGGUAAUUUGGUCAUUAUACCUCCUUUUUAGUAACAUAGGAAUAAAAGAGAAAAAGGAAAAAAAAAAAUAAAGGGGAAAAGGAAGAGAAGGAGAAAGUGCGGAAAGAAAAGAAUGUAAAUAGUGAGAGAGAAAAUUAUAGAGAGAGAAGGAAAGUUCUAGAGAGAGAGGGAGGUAACCGCCGCUCCGGCCACGAGGAGUCCGGUUCCGGCCGAGCCUUCAUGAAAUCUUCACAGAACUUAGAGAAGAACAUUCUUAACUUUUAGAUCGUCCAAAACCAUCCAGAAACGAGGAAAAAAAUCUAAAGAGGAUUACGCUCAAAAUCUGUGAAGAAAUUUGGCCGAGACCUCAACCCAAAGGCGGAGAUCCGAGGGUCAUCCGAGAACGGUGAGCGAACUUCCGGCGUUCUUAAAUCCUCCAUAGUCAAGAAAAAAAAAAUUAUAAAAAGAAUACUAGGAAUCAUAUUGAUCCGAUCUACGGAUCGAAAGAUAUGAAAAUCGGAAAAACAAAACCGACUGGGUUUCGGUUUUCAGAGGACAGAGAAGAAGAAGAGGA